GUGCUCAGACACCAUGCCGUGGGAAAACCCCAGGUGAGGGGUAUCAUCUGAGGUGACAACACCUCUGAGGAGAGGCACCUUCCCCCACCCCAGACUUCCCACUCAGGAGGGAGGAGAUGGGUGUGUUUGAUGUGUGCCCCAGGGGGAAAACGCCUUCAGGUCUAUGAGGGCUUGCUGCCUGGCACCUCUUUCAAGUGGCUCCUCUUCAGAGCCACUGCCACCACAGAGCACCUGCAGAGCAGAGCAGCCAUUGCCCUCAUGCUCCCUGAAGCACCACCAAAGAAAGUACAGAGGCACCUUCAGGAAAGGGCUGUGGAUGGAGAUCCAGCAGGGACAACCCCCCACAGGGGUAAUGCUCACCCUGUCGGGGCAGGGGAAGUAGGCAGGUUCAUUAUGCAAGUCAGGAGGGCGCAGGAGGGGCCUGCCCCCCCACACACUGGAUCCCCAGUGGCCAAGUGCCCCGGGCCUUUCACAUGGACAGUGGCCUGAAGCCCGUGGAUUGCUGUGUUUUGCUUUUAGUUCACAACCAUUUUGACACUGGAAAGUAUUGACUUUGGGAGAGCUGAAGGAAGCCCUACCUGUCAACCCCUCCCCCAACCCCACUACUUUUGACCGAGAGGCGCAGUCCCUGGUCAGCACCCACAUCUGUACAGGAGAUGGCUCUCCUUGGUGUUUUCCUGUGUUUGCACAUUGAAACGAGACUGACAGCCUGGCCAGACACUCAGCCACUUCGGACCCUUUUUUUUUUUUUGUCAAUUAACUUAUUUUUUUAAUACUUGAAAGUGAGCAAUGUCAUUUUUUUAUACCUUUACUAAGAGACACUGCCUGUCACCUGCGCGUGGGAGUGGCAAGAAGGUCUUUGUACAUCCCAUGCAACCUGAUGCAAAAUUGCCCUGAUUCUUGUUACACGCAUCUAUUUAUUAGCCUUCUUAAUAGUGUUACCGACCUGCUUGGCACCAGGGAGCAGCCCAGGGCCCUGUGGGUCCUUGUUCACAGCUUUGCCGUCCCCUCCUCUACCCGGCACCCUGUUCCUGUUGCCACUGGACUUUUCCAGGAGAAUAGCCUCUCUGUAUGGAUGCAUUUCGGAGCCAGGAGGCCAGGCCUCGAGACAGGUUGUUCUGGUCUUUUGGGAAUCUUGGCUCUGUGGACCCCACUUUGUCCAAUUUUGCUGCCAAGGUUUUACCUCCUGUACAUAUGUUAAAGGUUGAGGCUAGCCCCUCUUCAUGCUUGCUGGGACCAAGUAGAGUGUGAUGCUCAGCCCCAGCUAGACAGGAACAUGUGUGCUGGUCUCACCUCAACAUACCGGCCACUCCAAUCUUCUCUGCCUAUAUCAGGAUUUUCUUGGCCUGGCAGGAGCCAGUCAGCACCAUGUAACUAGAUCCAUAAGCCAAGCUGUUCAUUUCUCAUGGUUCAGCCAGAGACCAGCAGUUGGAGCCAGGGUGCUUCUCCUUCAAAACAGCAGCCACCUAUGGACCAGUCCAUUGGUACCAUACCAAUCUGGAAAGGGCACGCCAGCUGGGCCUGUGGGAGGGGCCAGUGCAGACAACAGCCAAGGGCCCACACUGACCCUGGACUCCCCGUGGGAACCACACUGUGCCUCAACUUGAACAUCCAUCCACCCAACUCCAGAGGAGCAAACAGCUAUCUUACUUCUCACCUUGCGCAAAAGCUGCCAUCUCUCCUGUGGAAACCCAGAUGUGCUGCUAGCAACCGCCACAGCGCUGACGUCAUCACUUCCUGGACUCUGAUAUGGCGGCAUCGCUAUUUUUAUUCCAUCAGAGGAGGAUGUUCUGGAUUCUAUUUUCAACCACAAUCUGCCAAUCAAACUGGACUUUGGACAGGACCUUCAUCGCCUGUGUGGCCUUCUCCUUGACCCUGUCCUCCUCUGCAGUGCCACCGGCGGCAAUCCCACGCAGCUCAGCCCUGUCAUUCCUGCUAACCCAGAACAAGGAAACCAUUUCCCGAGCGACUCAAGAAGGAUGCAGGGGCACGCUGCAUCUCUAGCUGCCUCUCAGAGCUCUGCACCAGAUGUUCCCUUCCACCUCUGUCCUGGUCAGCCAUGACGUGUUGAUCUCUCCAAAGCACACGCUGCUUCCAGUGAAAGUGGGCAGAACACUUCGCAGGAGGGCCUCAGAAAUCCACCAGCCUUGGGAGACGUCCCGCAGUUCUCCAGUCGUGACGACACGAGGACUUCAGAAUCCCACAGAGCACUUUUUUUUUUAGGCUACCAGUUUGUAACCACUAGUUUGCAGUUGAUUUCAGUGGCCCGGGAACGAGACGCGAAGUGUUCUCCACCUCUGGAAAUGCAUACAGCUCUGGUCAUGCGUUCUUCCCAGGAAUUAUGUCUUCACUUGAAGGCAGGGAAGAGAGGGAUGUAUACACUUCAUCCACACAUACAGUGCUAGAGUGCUUUUGAGUAAACCCAAACUCAAGGCUAAGGACAGUACAUGAGGCUCUAACCUCUGUCCCUGGAGCGCAAGCAGAAGGCAGCCCGUGGCUCCCAAAGAAGAGCGUGGCCAACCCAGGUUCUGACCCUGCUCAGUUGAUAUCUCUGCCUCCAACAGCCAUCCUUAACGUAAUUUUGACCAGCAGAUGUAGACUUUAAAAAAUAAGACAUAUGUCACUGGGACAGGAGAGUAGAGGUGGGGGCAACAAAUCUUGGGGGCGCUGGGACUAUAGCUCAGUGGUAGAAUGUGUGUUCAGCAUGCAUAAGACCCACGGUUCAACCCCCAGUACCACAUUUAAAAAUUUUUUUCUUUUGAAAGAUGGUAACAUGACCC
rnacentral:lncRNA from 1 species